CACGGCGGCACUGGCCGGCCACGGGGACGCCGGCGCCUAGGGACACCGCAGCAUGAGGCAGAGGGCCUGGGGCUGGGCCUGAGAGAAGGCGGAUGGGUCCUAAAGGAGGGUGAAGAUGUGAGUGGCCUCUGCAGACCCUGAUCUCCCAGUCUAGAUGAGAAAGCCUCCAUUCUGCUGCUGCACAGUGAGCUCAGGCAGAGGCUACUGCUCAUCACUAGUGUAGGAGGACCAGUGACAGAGGUGUCAGAAGCUUCCCUGGCAGGACCUGCUCAUCCUCCUGGACCUUGUAGUUUCGUGGAAUCUGCAAGGUACGGCAGACAGAUCCAGCAAACAUCAGCUU